UACUGAUGUCUUUAUCCUUGGAGAGGAGAGGUGUAAUCGAGAUGGAGAAGUGGCUCCAGAGGACAUGUCCUUAAUCAUGAUGUUGCUAUUUGGCAGAAACAUUGCUGCAGAAAGUCAGACCACAGAUGGGGACUGGUGGAAACCAAACAUAUGACUACAUCAGUCUACAAAAGCAUCAUGGUAUUCCCACAUAAUUCAGAAGCAUGCCAGGCCAUUCAGAAUCUACAGACCAGAGCAAUCAAGCAUCAUUGAUUUAGUCACCCUUUAUUUCAUAAACAUCUUAGAAUUUUCUUCCCA
rnacentral:lncRNA from 1 species